rnacentral:rRNA from 1 species
UUUAUGGAGAGUUUGAUCCUGGCUCAGGAUGAACGCUGGCGGCGUGCCUAAUACAUGCAAGUCGAGCGAACGGACGAGAAGCUUGCUUCUCUGAUGUUAGCGGCGGACGGGUGAGUAACACGUGGAUAACCUACCUAUAAGACUGGGAUAACUUCGGGAAACCGGAGCUAAUACCGGAUAAUAUUUUGAACCGCAUGGUUCAAAAGUGAAAGACGGUCUUGCUGUCACUUAUAGAUGGAUCCGCGCUGCAUUAGCUAGUUGGUAAGGUAACGGCUUACCAAGGCAACGAUGCAUAGCCGACCUGAGAGGGUGAUCGGCCACACUGGAACUGAGACACGGUCCAGACUCCUACGGGAGGCAGCAGUAGGGAAUCUUCCGCAAUGGGCGAAAGCCUGACGGAGCAACGCCGCGUGAGUGAUGAAGGUCUUCGGAUCGUAAAACUCUGUUAUUAGGGAAGAACAUAUGUGUAAGUAACUGUGCACAUCUUGACGGUACCUAAUCAGAAAGCCACGGCUAACUACGUGCCAGCAGCCGCGGUAAUACGUAGGUGGCAAGCGUUAUCCGGAAUUAUUGGGCGUAAAGCGCGCGUAGGCGGUUUUUUAAGUCUGAUGUGAAAGCCCACGGCUCAACCGUGGAGGGUCAUUGGAAACUGGAAAACUUGAGUGCAGAAGAGGAAAGUGGAAUUCCAUGUGUAGCGGUGAAAUGCGCAGAGAUAUGGAGGAACACCAGUGGCGAAGGCGACUUUCUGGUCUGUAACUGACGCUGAUGUGCGAAAGCGUGGGGAUCAAACAGGAUUAGAUACCCUGGUAGUCCACGCCGUAAACGAUGAGUGCUAAGUGUUAGGGGGUUUCCGCCCCUUAGUGCUGCAGCUAACGCAUUAAGCACUCCGCCUGGGGAGUACGACCG